rnacentral:lncRNA from 1 species
ACAGAAUAGGCAUCGAGCAGAGAAGAGGCCGCAAGCACAUUCAUUGAUGCAUCAAAUGCAAGUGUUUUCGCCUUAUCCGCGGUUAGAGAAUCCUCUGUCGGCGUAAAGGCAGUUUUCUCUUUUUGAAUAUCUCCCUCACUCCCCCCGGAGUGAGUUCUUUUCCGCGGGAUUAAGGGAUUCCUGUCUUUUGCUCAUAUUGUCUCCUAUGGAGAUGGAUUGAUAUGGAGGGUUUCCACUUUUUACUUAUUUACUUCUACUUGAACCGUUCAAAAUGAAAGAUGUAUUAUAAGUACUGUGAAACCAGUAUCCCAAUUGUUAAGUCAACCAAAAGGAAAUCGGCACACAUGAAUGACUUUAAUUAAAUACUUCCCUGAGAAACUCUACAAUAAUUGGUUUAAUCGAUCGGUCUGAGGUCUGUGCUCUGUCCACAAAAUCCUUUAAUGAGAUAGAUCGGUCCCUGGAAUAUGUCGUACUCUUCCUGUCCACAAAUGACUGUCUUUAAUUAGUUCCUAUCUUUCUUGCCCUGUAGCAGCAAGAAGUACAC